ensembl:snRNA U6 U6 spliceosomal RNA
GUGUUCCCUUCGGCAGCACAUAUACUAAAAUUGGAACGAUACAGAGAAGAUUAGCAUGGCCCCUGCACAAGGAUGAAAUGCAAAUUCGUGAAGCACUCCAUACUUAA